UACGUAGGGUGCAAGCGUUAAUCGGAAUUACUGGGCGUAAAGCGUGCGCAGGCGGUGAUGUAAGACAGGUGUGAAAUCCCCGGGCUUAACCUGGGAACUGCAUUUGUGACUGCAUCGCUGGAGUGCGGCAGAGGGGAUGGAAUUCCGCGUGUAGCAGUGAAAUGCGUAGAUAUGCGGAGGAACACCGAUGGCGAAGGCAAUCCCCUGGGCCUGCACUGACGCUCAUGCACGAAAGCGUGGGGAGCAAACAGG
rnacentral:rRNA from 1 species